rnacentral:rRNA from 1 species
GAGUUUGAUCGUGGCUCAGUAUGAACGCUGGCGGCGUGCCUAAUACAUGCAAGUCGAGCGAACGGACGAGAAGCUUGCUUCUCUGAUGUUAGCGGCGGACGGGUGAGUAACACGUGGAUAACCUACCUAUAAGACUGGGAUAACUUCGGGGAACCGGAGCUAAUACCGGAUAAUAUUUUGAACCGCAUGGUUCAAAAGUGAAAGACGGUCUUGCUGUCACUUAUAGAUGGAUCCGCGCUGCAUUAGCUAGUUGGUAAGGUAACGGCUUACCAAGGCAACGAUGCAUAGCCGACCUGAGAGGGUGAUCGGCCACACUGGAACUGAGACACGGUCCAGACUCCUACGGGAGGCAGCAGUAGGGAAUCUUCCGCAAUGGGCGAAAGCCUGACGGAGCAACGCCGCGUGAGUGAUGAAGGUCUUCGGAUCGUAAAACUCUGUUAUUAGGGAAGAACAUAUGUGUAAGUAACUGUGCACAUCUUGACGGUACCUAAUCAGAAAGCCACGGCUAACUACGUCG